AGGCGACCGAGUUGUCGAGAAUCCCUCCAAAUUGGGCCUAUGGCGGCACCGCACUCGGGCCCCGAGUGUGGCCUCGUCAACCCGGCGGCGCUAAUGUAGCGAUGCUGCUCCCUGCCCCGCCUGCCUGCCCUUUGCAACGGUGGAGCCUACACCGCUCGGCCGCCCUGAUUCGUCGUUGUGGUGCGACGAGGACGAUGUUGUGGUUCGCGGCCGCCCUGACUCUGCGGGGGUUCUACGCACUUGCACCCAGUACUGAUGCUGCUACUGCCAUGCGAUUGCCUCGCCCGCCAUCGAACCUUUGAAGAGUCACACCCCCAUGAUCUUGCACCCGGUCGUUUGUUUUACGCUACCCUAAUUUACGCUGCACCCAAGUGGUGAGAUGCGACAUGGCUUGACGUUCGAGAGCUUGGACUUUCUUUGGUGUGACGGAAACCUAACCUUGAAUUUCUGCUUGUGGGGUUGUGAGUGUGGACCUGACAGAAGGGAAAACUUUGUGUGACUGUGGACGUGAAUCUUCUGGGAUGGUGAGAGGAUGCUACCAUUCUCAUUCCCUGUGUGUAUGUGUGCCGUUACUGUUCCUGCAGAGUGUUUGAGAGUCUGAUACGUGGUUAGAAGUCAGGAGUGCUGACGAUGAUGCAUCUGUGAAGAUGUACUGGAUUGCGCACGUCAAGCAUCGCAUCCGGAAUAUAACGACGCAUUAUUAAAAGAAGAGUUCCCAAGAUGGAGAGAUUAAAUUGUAUUUACAGCAUUGACCGCUCGAUGCAUGUGAAAAAAAGGUGUCGCUGGCAGACUCCAUGAGAACCAACCCCAAUAUUGUUAGAAUUCUGCCCAUCUCAAACUCAGGAUCUGAAGCAAAAAUUUGAUUGAAAUCCUCCCAAAUUUAGAAUGCAAGACUACACGAGACGAUGCACAGAGGUCACUCGCCUGUCUCAAACUUGAGAAGGAACUGUCAGUCUCAGAGCAUCGAAAAUACCUCAGCAUGCGUUCGAGGUAAUGAACAGCCGUGGACAGUCAACUGUUCAUCUUCACUCAAAAAAUGUCACUAGCAACUCUCGGUCGACUUCAUCUUCCAGCAUGCAAUUGAAAUAUAGAUGCACCGAGGACAACGCUAAAUGGUCAUGAACUUUGUCGCAUUGACCAGAACUCUUUGCACCAUGAUUGCGGUGCUUAUUACAGAACUCAGUAUCGAAGUGAAAGUUUUUCAGCUUCA